rnacentral:rRNA from 1 species
GAUGAACGCUGGCGGCGUGCCUAACACAUGCAAGUCGAGCGAACAGAUAAGGCUCUUGCUCCUUUCACGUUAGCCGCGCACGUGUGAGUAACGCGUGUAUCAUCUACCUAUCAGACUGGUAUAACUACGGAAAACCGGCGCUUAUGCCGUAUAACAUUUAGAACCGCAUGGUUCUAAAGUGAAAGAUGGUUUUGCUAUCACUUCUAGCUGGACCCGCGCGGGAUGAGCUAGUUGGUAGGGUCACGGCUUACCAAGGCUACGAUACGUAGACGACGUGAGAGAGUGAUAGGCCACACUAGAACUGAGACACGGUCCAGACUCCUACGGGAGGCAGCAGUAGGGAAUCUGAGGCAAUAGGCGAGAGCAUGACGGAGCGACGCCGAGUGAGUGAUGACGGUCUUCGGAUCGUAAUGCUCGGUUAUGAGGGGAGAACAGAUGUGGAAGUAGAUGUGCAGGUAUUGACGGUAACGAAUCAGAAAGCACCGGCUAACUACGUG